rnacentral:rRNA from 1 species
GGUAUGAAUGGCUAAACGAGAAAUUAACUUUUUUUGUUAUAAAAAUUGAAUUUAAUUUUUUAGUGAAAAAGCUAAAAUUUUUCAGAAAGACGAGAAGACCCUAUAGAGUUUUAUAUUAUAUUUUAUUAUUUCUAAUUUGAUUUUUAAAGAUAGAAUAAAAGAAAAUAUUUUGUUGGGGCGACAUUUAGAUAAAAAAAACUCUUUAUUUUAAAAAUUUAUAUAAAAAGAUAUUUGAUCCUCUAAAAGAGAUCAAAAGAAAAAAUUACCUUAGGGAUAACAGCGUAAUCUUUUUUGAGAGUUCUAAUCGACAAAAAGGUUUGCGACCU